rnacentral:rRNA from 1 species
AUUGAACGCUGGCGGCAGGCCUAACACAUGCAAGUCGAGCGGAUGACGGGAGCUUGCUCCUUGAUUCAGCGGCGGACGGGUGAGUAAUGCCUAGGAAUCUGCCUGGUAGGGGGGGACAACGUUUCGAAAGGAACGCUAAUACCGCAUACGUCCUACGGGAGAAAGCAGGGGACCUUCGGGCCUUGCGCUAUCAGAUGAGCCUAGGUCGGGUUAGCUAGUUGGUGGGGUAAUGGCUCACCAAGGCGACGAUCUGUAACUGGUCUGAGAGGAUGAUCAGUCACACUGGAACUGAGACACGGUCCAGACUCCUACGGGAGGCAGCAGUGGGGAAUAUUGGACAAUGGGCGAGAGCCUGAUCCAGCCAUGCCGCGUGUGUGAAGAAGGUCUUCGGAUUGUAAAGCACUUUAAGUUGGGAGGAAGGGCAGUAAGUUAAUACCUUGCUGUUUUGACGUUACCGACAGAAUAAGCACCGGCUAACUCUGUGCCAGCCGCCGCUGUAA